rnacentral:lncRNA from 1 species
GAUAUGUAUCUCAUCUCUAGGUAUUUCUUGAUCUCGUCAGUUUCGUUUGCCGCACCCCUUUCCUUCAGCAAGGCUGUGACAUGGUCGUCAUCUUUAUGGAUAUACUUAAAUAGGUACUUGAUUGAUCUGGACCUAUUGCACCACUCGACAUUUAUAUGAGCUUGAAAUUUGACCAGAAGAUUCUGGUUGUAUGGCACAACAAAUCUGUUGUCGAGCAUUACCCCUCCCGUUUUGAUCUGCCUUCUGUCAUCCCUCCUUUUAUAUACUGGAAAUCUGUCCUCGUCAAUGGUAGUACUGGCAUUGUAUCUUUUUGGGAAAUGCUUGGUGCAUCUAUGGUCCACCAUGCAUGGUGAGUUUUUCUUAGCCUCUCCGCACGGGCCAUGCAUCAUGAAGUUCUCAACAGCUUCAAAUGCCUCCGGAUCCCAUCCUUGUUUGGGAUCUCAACGCUUAUUAUUUUGUCGAUUUGCGAUGGUCCUGGGUACUUUUCUUUGUCCUUCAAAAAUAUUAGUAUGUGGGCAUGAGCGAGUCCUCUCUUCUGGAAUUCUAUUGCGUAGAUGAGUGCAGUUGAUUAAUAGUUUGCCAGAUUUAGCUAAAGUUGGAAUGCAUGUUACUAAAGAGCUAGAAUUUGACGGAGUAUAAGAUGAUGCAUGCUACUAAAGAGCAAGUCUGACGGACUAUAAGAUGAUGCAUGAAAGAGUAAAGAUUGAUAGUCAAUGGGACUUACUUGCAACUGUUUCUCCAAAGUAUUUAUUUUCUUUUAUGUCUCUCAUUAGCUCCUUUAGUUUGAUCAUAAAUACUCUGUCCACAAUAUCUGGCCGAUCGGCUGGUUUUUGGCCACCACCCGCUUCAUCUAGCAUGUAUUGGAUCUCAGGCCACUUUGCAUUGCAUGUGAAUGUUAUAAAUAGGUCUGGGUAUCCAGCCCAACGACAUAUUGCAAAGGCAUCUUGCAGAUAUUGUGCCUUGUUUCUUCUACCACCUGUAAAAGAUGAAGGCACAAUUAUCAUUUUUCCAACUUGCUCUGUUCUUGUGUCCCCUUGCUCAAUCGCAUCAUGCAAUCCACUAUAAAGUUCAGUUUGUAGCUUUCCUUGAUUGUGUCGGAUCCAAUUUAGUGUAUUUUGCUCGAUACAUGUGUAUACAUCCACCCAAAAUUGCAGCGACAGAUGCCCAGACUUAAGCAGUAACAUUCCUUGAUCAGGACGUUGUUGUAGGUAGAAUGCAUAGUAGUCCAACAACAUUACGUAUUUCCUGCUGUUUGUAGCUCCCUUUGUUUUCUUGUAGGGUAUCUCAAGUUUAAAACCAUCUUCUCCGUAUGGAAACAACAACGGAUAUUGCAUGGACAUGAAUUUCGGGUGGAUCUCUGAUAUCCAUUGCGGCUCCAUAUUUUUGUACUCAACAACAAUGUCAUGUCCUUCACUCUCUCUGGUUGGAUCUCUUACUACCAAUGCUGCAACUUCAGAUGCAGGUGGAAGGUUGUGUGUUUCGUUCCUUUUGCCUAGUAUCCGAAGUGUGUAAUCAUGGUAGUCUCCUUCUUGGAAUCUAUCUCUUGCCAUUCUGAAUGUUUUUGCGAGGAUGUUGUUGUCGUCAAGCAUUAUUUUCAGUUUUUUGACAAUGUUGGGGCCCACUGUUGAUUUAUUAGCAUUGCAUCUUGACGCACUUAUCCUGUUUCCACCUCAUUUUCGGUAUUAUAGAUGUAUAGCUGUGCGAACCGAGGUUUGUCUGUACCUUGAGGCAAAAGAGUUCCGAUAUGGUGGUAGUUCUAUCCAUGCAAACGAAAAACAUAAGGUCCUUUGCGAGUAUUUAUUUCCUUGUCCACAACUCCUCCCAUCGAUGUGAAUGAGAACAUUGAGUUGUAUGACCUUAUACUUUCUUUGAAGUUUACCGAAUCCUGCCCUUCACUUCUUAGGAGGUUUCUGGGGUAUGGUGGAGGUUCUCUUAGUGGCGGCAGAUCGAUUUUCCCCUGUUUGCAGCAUAUUCCAAAAGAGGGUGCUGUAGUUCCUUUGUUUGAACUUAAUCUUUCCUCACACCAUAGCAAUGCUUUGCAAUAUUGGCAUUUGUAUAUUGGCCUUCCGAAGUUCCAUGGCUUUCUAUUAGCACUUGUCAAGGUUCUGGUUCUGUUGUUGUCUCCAACAUUGACUCUAAUGUUGUUUCUGUUGGUAUCGCUUCUUGCGCGCUUCAAUUCCUUAUCUUCUUCAGCAUUAGCCUUUCUGAAUCGUUUAGGAUCCUCUGUGUUUGUGUUUGUGUUUCUUCUUCCCUCUCCAGUCCUUGUCCGCUUUGUACUCCUUGAGUUUAGAGGUUGUUCUUUCUUUCUUUUUGUAUGGUGAGCUGCUGGAGGUGACAUAUGUUGGACUCUCAUACCUGCAAAUGUGAUUUCGUCAAUGCGUAUAGAGUUUUCUUAACAUAGUAUCAUGUAAUAUGAUUUAUGUUGUACUUAAUGAUGUUUUGCUGUUGCAGAUAUGCAAGUGCAUUUGGAGAUAUAAGGGACUACUAAUGAAGAUGUCACAUACAGUACAGUUGGAGAUCAAUGUUAUUUAUCUGGUAGGGCGCUAUAAAUAAAAAAUUGUUCAACCAUGUUGCUCUUUUUGUAGCUUUCACAUCACUAUCAUGGUAGUAUCAGGAUGCAUGAAAAAAGUGAUUUAUAGUUUAGUAUCAGAAGAGUUUUGAGAUAGAAUAUUAGAAGCAAGGUUGAGCUGAUAUCAAAAUGCAGGGGAAAACUUGAAGAAUUGCAUGUGGAUAUUACCCAAGGUUGAUGGUGCCGAUGCCGUGUCUUCAGUUUGUUGGGCGUUUCUUUGUGCCUUCGAUCGUUUCGGCAUCGCGGGCGUAUAUUGGAUGCAAGUUGCUGGAGUUGUUACCAUGCCUUCAAUUUGUCGGCCGUCUCGUCCCUUUGAUUGUCCUGAUAUCUUGAAUAAGGAUCUAUUGAGAAAGUGCAUCAUGGGUCAUUUAGAAAUGUUUGUCUUGUAAAAAUAUAGUUGAAAUUAUGUGAUAUAAGCAGAAGGGAUGAGUGUGUGACCAUACCUCUUAUUUGUUUUCUGAGACUGAUCUAGCAAUUUGUAUCUUCACGUAGGGAUUUGUAUUAUUUAAAUUACCUGAGAGCAGAGGUUCUAUGAGAAUAUGUUAGCUUGUAAUAAGGAUGUCAAAAUAAUAUGCUUAUUAAAAAGAGGAAAUACAUAAUACCCUGAAGCCUUUUCCUGUUUAUUA